CAAACAAGGCUGUGGGCAGAAUGCAUUUAUUCUUUUGUGGCAGGUAAUCUUGAGAUACCAACCAUCUCCGCUACAAAUCGAUUGGAUGAAAAAUGUAUCAGAGUCGUGGGUUAUCAGCCAGGGAAUCCAAUCACAAUGCAAAUAAAGAGUUUUUAAGAAAAACCACUGGGAAAAGGAAGACAGCGUCUACUUCAAACAUAAUGCCUGUAGGAACGAUUUCUGUUUAACGACACAUUAUAAUAGCAAGGGCUUUGUCAUUUAAUCAAACAGUCAUUCGCUCCAAUAUUUUCUCUAAUGCUUCACUGAACUUGCAUUUUAAUUAUUUUUCAGAAAGUGACAAAUUGCACACAU